AGAUUGAACGCUGGCGGCAGGCCUAACACAUGCAAGUCGAGCGAGAAAGCACUUCGGUGUGAGUAGAGCGGCGGACGGGUGAGUAACGCGUAGGAAUUUGCCCAGUAGUGGGGGACAACAUGUGGAAACGCAUGCUAAUAAUCCGCCCUAAGGGGUAAAGCAGGGGAUCUUCGCACCUUGCGCUAUUGGAGAAGACUGAGUCGGAUUAGAUAGUUGGUGGGGUAAAGGCCCACCAAGGCCGCGAUCGGUAACUGGUCUGAGAGGACGAUCAGCCACACUGGGACUGAGACACGGCCCAGACUCCUACGGGAGGCAGCAGUGGGGAAUAUUGCACAAUGGGCGCAAGCCUGAUGCAGCAAUGCCGCGUGUGUGAAGAAGGCCUGCGGGUUGUAAAGCACUUUCAAUAGGGAAAAAAAGCUCGAGGUUAAUAGCCUCGGGUCUUGACGUUAUCUAUACAAGAAGCACCGGCUAACUCCGUGCCAGCAGCCGCGGUAAUACGGAGGGUGCGAGCGUUAAUCGGAAUUACUGGGCGUAAAGCGCGCGUAGGCGGAUAGGUCAGUCGGAUGUGAAAGCCCCGGGCUUAACCUGGGAAUUGCAUUCGAUACUGCCUGACUAGAGUAUGGUAGAGGGAAGCGGAAUUCCGGGUGUAGCGGUGAAAUGCGUAGAUAUUAGGAAGAACACCAGUGGCGAACGCGGCUUCUUGGAUUGAUACUGACACUGAGGUACGAAAGCGUGGGGAGCAAACAGGAUUAGAUACCCUAGUAGUCCACGCCCUAAACGAUGAGAACUAGAUGUUGGCAAUUUAUAAUCCUUUAGUAUCGUAGCUAACGCGAUACGUUCUCCGCCUGGGGCGUCCGGCCGCCCGGUUCCACCUCCCAUGCCUUGACGGGGGCCCGCACAAGCGGUGGAGCAUGUGGUUUAAUUCGAUGCAACGCGAAGAACCUUACCUGGCCUUGACAUCCUUGGAAUUUCGCAGAAACGUGAAAGUGCCUUCGGGAGCCAAGAGACAGGUGCUGCAUGGCUGUCGUCAGCUCGUGUCGUGAGAUGUUGGGUUAAGUCCCGCAACGAGCGCAACCACUAUCUCUAGUUGACAGAGCAUUUGGUCGGGAACUCUAGAGAGACUGCCGGUGAUAAACCGGAGGAAGGUGGGGAUGACGUCAAGUCAUCAUGGCCCUUACGGCCAGGGCUACACACGUGCUACAAUGGAUAGUACAGAGGGUCGCAAACCUGCGAGGGGGAGCCAAUCUCAUAAAACUAUUCGUAGUCCGGAUUGGAGUCUGCAACUCGACUCCAUGAAGUCGGAAUCGCUAGUAAUCGCGAAUCAGCAUGUCGCGGUGAAUACGUUCCCGGGCCUUGUACACACCGCCCGUCACACCAUGGGAGUGGGUUGUACCAGAAGUAGGUAGUCUAACCGCAAGGAGGACGCUUACCACGGUAUGGUUCAUGACUGGGGUGAAGUCGGAACAAGGUAGCCGUAGGGGAACCUGCGGCUGGAUCACC
rnacentral:rRNA from 1 species